UACGAAGGGGGCUAGCGUUGUUCGGAAUUACUGGGCGUAAAGCGCACGUAGGCGGAUCGAUCAGUCAGGGGUGAAAUCCCAGGGCUCAACCCUGGAACUGCCUUUGAUACUGUCGAUCUGGAGUCCGGAAGAGGAGAGUGGAAUUCCUGGUGUAGCGGUGAAAUGCGCAGAUAUCAGGAAGAACACCCGUGGCGAAGGCGGCUCUCUGGGACGGUACUGACGCUGAGACGCGAAAGCGUGGGGAGCGAACAGG
rnacentral:rRNA from 1 species